rnacentral:rRNA from 1 species
GACGAACGCUGGCGGCGUGCUUAACACAUGCAAGUCGAACGGAAAGGCCCUGCUUUUGUGGGGUGCUCGAGUGGCGAACGGGUGAGUAACACGUGAGUAACCUGCCCUUGACUUUGGGAUAACUUCAGGAAACUGGGGCUAAUACCGGAUAGGAGCUCCUGCUGCAUGGUGGGGGUUGGAAAGUUUCGGCGGUUGGGGAUGGACUCGCGGCUUAUCAGCUUGUUGGUGGGGUAGUGGCUUACCAAGGCUUUGACGGGUAGCCGGCCUGAGAGGGUGACCGGCCACAUGGGGACUGAGAUACGGCCCAGACUCCUACGGGAGGCAGCAGUGGGGAAUAUUGCACAUUGGGCGGAAGCCUGAUGCAGCAACGCCGCGUGCGGGAUGACGGCCUUCGGGUUGUAAACCGCUUUCGCCUGUGACGAAGCGUGAGUGACGGUAAUGGGUAAAGAAGCACCGGCUAACUACGUG